UGGCCUAUUAGCCUCAGCUGGUUAGAGCGCACGCCUGAUAAGCUGAGUCAGUUUCGAGUCCAUUAGGCCCACCA
rnacentral:tRNA from 1 species